rnacentral:rRNA from 3 species
UUCUGAAAUCAAGUGGGAUUACCC